rnacentral:lncRNA from 1 species
UUUGUCCUUCUGAGUCUUCUCCUUCCUCUUUACUCAAUAGGGUUGUGGAUAUCCUCCAGUGAGGAAAUCUGCGUCUAGAAACCACAUCCACCUAUUCAUAUUCUCAUAAGUACUGUGGCAUUUAUGUCUUCAGGAAUGCCUAUUACGUUGGGUUAAGUUUUAAAAAUAUGGGAAGAGCUGGAAUGUCAGACAUAGAGAUCCUUGUCAUUGAAGGAAGCCUAAGAAUCCUAAGAAAAAAAAUCCAAACAUUUGUGCUUGGAAGGAAGUCCCUAUGAGAGAUGAUGGCUUCUAAGACACGUGGGAAGAUUACCUUUCUCUGAUGUCUUGGGAUUGAACUGAGCUAUGUGGCUAGUUACAGGCCAAUAGGCUGUUAGCAGAUGUGACAUCUAACACAACUAGGCUGCAGUUUGAAAUAAAUACCAGUGCACAGCCUCCAGAAUUCCUCCCCUGCUAAGGUGACUGAGAAGACCUCAGCUGAGAUGGUGGGAAAAAAAAAUAUUCAAGCAGCUUGGAUAACGAAGUUCCUAAAUGGAAGAACAUUGUCCCAGAGAGUCACUUGAACCCAGAAUAGAUUUACGUGAUCAGACAAUAAACCUCUAUGACACCCUGAGUUUAUUUUGUUUUUUGAUUUUGUUACUGCAGCAUAACUCAACAUACCCUGACUGGUAUAGUCAUGGAGAUUAUCAUCAGGAUCUCCUAUGCUCCUGCAUAUGACACAGCCAGAGUUCUGCAGACAUUUAACUUUGGGCAUCUAAAUAUCAUAAAUGC